AUUGAACGCUGGCGGCAUGCUUUACACAUGCAAGUCGAACGGCAGCACGGGAGCUUGCUCCUGGUGGCGAGUGGCGAACGGGUGAGUAAUGCAUCGGAACGUACCCAGUAGUGGGGGAUAGCCCGGCGAAAGCCGGAUUAAUACCGCAUAUUUCCUGAGGGAGAAAGCGGGGGACCUUCGGGCCUCGCGCUACUGGAGCGGCUGAUGUCGGAUUAGCUAGUUGGUGAGGUAAAGGCUCACCAAGGCGACGAUCCGUAGCUGGUCUGAGAGGAUGAUCAGCCACACUGGGACUGAGACACGGCCCAGACUCCUACGGGAGGCAGCAGUGGGGAAUUUUGGACAAUGGGGGCAACCCUGAUCCAGCCAUGCCGCGUGAGUGAAGAAGGCCUCGGUUGUAAGACC
rnacentral:rRNA from 1 species